CAGGGAAGGAGCAGGCCAGCUCAAACUACGUUCAUAAAGAAGUUCUCCAGUUUUUAAACAACGGAACAGAACAGCUUGAAAUUUUUUUCUAUUUUUCCCCACUUCUAACAACAUCAAUUCCAGCCGAAGAAGCAGAAACAUCAAGAAGGAAAAGUUCUUCUGAAAAAUAGGAUCCCUGGUGCUCUUUUCCCACACUCAUCAAAAAGUCGCCUCUGCCAAGAGUGCCUUCUCUUCACCUCAUGAUGAAAACCAAUCCCGUUGCUGCGAUCUGCUAGUCUAAAACACAACACAUUUCCUUUACAACACAUGCUUCAGCCUGUGAAGAUGGUUCCAGCUCAGAAGUGGCAAUCACAUUCAUCAAGAGAUAUCCUAGUAACAGGCAGGACCUCCUGAUCCGGAGAUCCCGAGUUUACCAGGAGACCAGUGAACUCUCAAAGAAAGGACAUCAGGACCUGCACCUCAGCUCAGCUCAUCAUGGGUCACUUUCCAGGAACUGUGAUGAAGAAAGACAGAUUUGUGAAGUAGCAAACACAGAUGUCUGUGACCUGGACAUGCCAGUUACCAACAAAAAACAGGAAUAAUCUUUCUAAGGUGCUAGCCAGAGCCUAAGAGUUCCUCCUCUAGUACUUGGGUUUUCUUACUCUUCCCACCAUGCAGCUGCUUGUCCGGCGUGUGGCUGACCUCCAUGUUGGAUUGAUUCAGAUGGCAUGACUGGCCUCUCCCCCUUCCCUUCCAAGUCUCCUCUUCUGAGUAGCCGGCAAGAUCUGCAGCUUGUAUGGGAUUUUACUUUUAAACUCUAAUAAAAUUCCCUUGGGCUGCUAACAAUAAAAUGAAAAUAAUAUUCUCCCCUAUGGAUGUGGUAGAUUUUGUUUAUCUCUACAUCCAUUGACAGAUUUUAUUUUUUUGGGGGGGGGGUCAUUUCUACUCUUUGGCUGUUGUAAAUGUCACUGCUGUGCUGUGCUCUCUCUC
rnacentral:lncRNA from 1 species